UACGGAGGGCGCAAGCGUUGUUCGGAAUUACUGGGCGUAAAGCGCGUGCAGGUGGCCGAGUAAGUCGAAUGUGAAGGCCCCGAGCUCAACUCGGGAACUGCAUCCGAAACUGCUCGGCUAGAGUCCCGGAGAGGAAGGCAGAAUUCCUAAUGUAGGGGUGAAAUCCGUAGAUAUUGGGAGGAAUACCGGUGGCGAAGGCGGCCUUCUGGACGGUGACUGACACUCAGACGCGAAAGCGUGGGGAGCAAAC
rnacentral:rRNA from 1 species